CAUACAGCACAAGAAACCAGAGCAGAAAGUCCCCAUGGCCAGGAGAUGUCCUCAUGGAGUCUCUUGGAUCACAGAGUUCCUAUAAAUCUCUAAAAUUUAUAACAAAGUAUUCAGGUAUCCAGCCAUGCAAACUGUGGCGAAAAAAACCCCCUCUUGUUGUUUCAUGGGUGAGGGAAUCCUCUUACAGCUGGAGUUCUGCAGGAAAAGGGAGUUUGGCAGCCCUGGAUCCAUCACAGUGGCUUGGCAUUGAGGAAAACCCUGGUAUUCCAGCAGAUCGAGUCUGAGCAGAGUGAUGUGUUUGGCUGGUGUGGGGAUGGUGAUUCCUGGCUUCAGGAAUGCCAGGGAAAACUCAGACAGAAAAUCUUAGAAGCCCGAGAAGCAAAGAGGAAGCAAAAAACCCCCGUAAUCAGCAGGAAAUUCAGGAGAGUUUCAGUUCUCAGAGAGCAGCUAAGAGGCAUCAUCCUUAUCUUUGGGGGAAUUUUGAGCUUGUCUUCUUGCAACUCUGCUCUCAGGCUGAGAAACCCUGGAUAACAUCAGAUAAUGCUCCCAGGGCCGCUUGCCAGGAAAACAGCGAUCCCAAAAGGUAACUCCGACCUGAUUAAUGGAUAUUCAUCUCCCUAAAGGCACAAUGGCAGCUGGAGAACGACAUUAACCCCGUCAGAUAACAUCGGGGUGAGGCACCACAGAGGCUCCGUGCCUCAUUCACACCCUGCUGCACAGGUGACCCCUGCAGUUUUCAUCCUAAACAGCCAGGAAAAAACUUAAACUGAGCAAAACCCCCAUGCUCUGAGAAAUGAGAGAAGGGAG